rnacentral:rRNA from 1 species
UACGGAGGGUGCAAGGCGUUAUCCGGAUUCACUGGGUUUAAAGGGUGCGUAGGUGGGCAGGUAAGUCAGUGGUGAAAUCUCCGGGCUUAACCCGGAACUGCCGUUGAUACUAUCUGUCUUGAAUAUAGAGGAGGUGAGCGGAAUAUGUCAUGUAGCGGUGAAAUGCUUAGAUAUGACAUAGAACAUCGAUUGCGAAGGCAGCUCGCUACACUAUUAUUGACACUGAGGCACGAAAGCGUGGGGAUCAAACAGG